rnacentral:rRNA from 1 species
CUUGACUGUAGCCUGAAAUUGGGUUUGGGCUCUUCUUGCGCAGCCUAGGUGGGAGGCGUUGAGGGUACCCUUCCGGGGGUGCCGGAGCCAUCAGUGAGAGACCACUCUGGAGGAGCUAGAAUUCUAAUGGCGAUCCUUGAAUCAGGACGCUUGACAGUUUCAGGCGGGCAGUUUGACUGGGGCGGUCGCCUCCUAAAAGGUAACGGAGGCGUGCAAAGGUUCCCUCAGGCUGGACGGAAAUCAGCCGAGGCGUGUAAAGGCAGAAGGGAGCUUGACUGCAAGACCUACAAGUCGAGCAGGGGCGAAAGCCGGCCUUAGUGAUCCGACGGUACCGUGUGGAAGGGCCGUCGCUCAACGGAUAAAAGUUA